ensembl:lncRNA
AACUCAUUGAAAUCUUGGCCCUUAGAGACUAUAAUUAGGAGAGAAAGAGCCCACAGUUGCUCCAAAUAGAAGAAAGGAGCAGGAGAGUGAGCUGAGGGCCAAGCCGACUGGGAAGUGUCAUUCAUGGAUGCUACCCCUCUCAGAGGCGCUUCUUUUCCUUCUCUCCCUGUCAUCUUGGCCAGUGGCAGUCCCUACUCCUCAUGAGCUGCCUCCAUCUGUGUAGCCCCUGCAUUGAGGCCUUGGGGUUCUUGGGGGUUAGGGCAGAACCUGACAUCCAGAGCUGGUGUGAGUGGGUGAGCCUGGGACUCACUCAGAGUGUUCUCGCGGUGGUUAUGACUCACUAAGGAUGGUUGUGAGAUAUGAAAGAGUGGCUGCUUCUCCUGCAUCUUGCCAGAGAGGGUCCCCCUCAGAGAAGUGAGGAAGGUUUCCCAGGGCUGACAGCUGAAGCCAUCACCAACAGCACUGCUGGCAGCUGGGCAAGAAACCCUUCCGGAAAGGGGCAUCACAGCAUCCACCACGGUCUACCCUUUGUGCAGUUGGAUCCACUCUUCACAUACACUCUGGAAGCAGCUCCUUCUGCAGUCCAGUGGGCCUCUUUCUGGGGGGAAACCUAGAAGAUAAAGAUCUAGAGUAAGACUAGCCAGAGCCCCUGCUGCUGCAGUGGGUCUGAGAACCACAACCAAUACUCAUCAUCUCUCUUCCACCAUCCAUUCCAGCUUCCUCUCACCCUCAGCCUCGACGGCUUACCUGGUGGUGUGACCCAGACAUGCAUCCCUGAGAGGUUUGUGCCCCUGGUCACCAGGCCCUUCUCAGGCUGGGCUUGCUACACUCAUGCACUUACUGUCAAAAUGGUGCAAGGACCAAAAGGUGCUCCAGUGGAGCACCCGGGUGUCAAGCAUAGUCCGUCGCAUGGAGGCAACCCAAGUAGAUUUUCACAGAAAAAAGCAAGUGAAACCCAGGAAGCUAAUAUUAAACCAUUUCCUGACUCCACCCUCAGAUAAUAAGUCCAUUAAUUUGAUUUCCUUCCCUUUGUUCAAACGAGGCUUAUCAAAACAUUCUGAUUGUAAUUGUAUGCAUAUGCGUAAAAAGUAUAUGACUGUAUGUAUGUAUCUAUAUAAAUCAGAGGCUACAGAAAAAUAUAAGGGAUACCAUAUAAAUCACCCAGAUACCACCAUCCAGAGGGAAAUACUGUUAUCCUCUUGAUACCUUUCUUUGCAGUCUUUUUCUCUGUAUAUUUCUUUGAUUUUUCUAAAAUGAAAAACUACCCAUAUGUAUAUAUAAAUUAGUAUUCUGCCUCUUUUUUGUUAAUGUGACAGUAUAUUGUAAAUACUUCCCAACCGCCUCUAUCUUGGCACUAUAUUCAUGGAAGGGCAGAUGAAUCAGGCUGAUCGUGAUUACUUCUAGACAACAUUUGUCAAAAUAAUUUUUGUGAUAAGAACCGGUUGAUUUUGAAGAAUUUAACAAAGCGAUUUCCUUUGGAAGACAAAAAGCAGCCUACAUAAUACAGAGCAUAUAUAGUAACGACUACCGUAAUAGUAAGUAUAUUAUCUCAUUUAAUACUGGAGCCGUAUUACGAGUCCAGUGCAUAUUAUUACUGCUACUACAGAUGAGGAAAUUGAGGUUCAGAGAGAUUAAAUCACUUGUCAGGGUCACACAACUAGAACCUAGAAUCAAAGCUCAAGUCUAGAUUUCCUGCCCUUGUAUCCCACACU